rnacentral:misc_RNA from 1 species
AGCAAACAAAAUUUUAUUCCAAUAUUGGUUUUGCAGCAUAGGAACAGAUAAAAAGUAUUGUUGGAGGACAUCUUGAAGGACUAGAGCCCAUUACAAAAUUAAAGCUUUCUUGUAGAACAACUCCAAUGUUGAACACUAGAGGGCUAGAGCCCUGACCCGAAUGAGGGAAGGACAACCAUACUCUGAUGAACGAACAGACAGACUUAGAAUAAUAGACUUACAUUACACAUAACAUAAAUUUUAUAUAAAUAUUCUACAAAUUCAUUAAACCACUCCUCUUCCUGAUGGCUCAGAUCACCGCUUCUUUUGUGUUGUUUUAGCACGCACUAAAUCUGAUGCUGACAACAUUCCAGAUUUACCAACAUCAAGAAUUCAACGCAAGGGAGAGAUCUUCUUGGCUAAUCUUCCCCAUCUCUUUCAGCUUUGUUAUGAUGGACUCGGCAGACCUGUCACCAACAACUCCAUCAUUAUCAAUAUUAACAGUCUCCAGAUCAUGAUUGGUCGUCAUCCUCCAGGAAUGAAUCCAAUUAAUCAGUGCCUUUUGUCUGCUUUCAAUGAAUACCUCGGCAACGUAGAGAAAAAACUGGCCCAAGCCAAGAGUAGUGCUCAGUAUCGAAAAUAUACCAAAAGCA